rnacentral:rRNA from 1 species
AGUACCACGGGACACGUGAAACCCUGUGGGAAGCAGGAGGGACCACCCUCCAAGGCUAAAUACUACCUAGUGACCGAUAGCGUAUAGUACCGUGAGGGAAAGGUGAAAAGAACCCCGGGAGGGGAGUGAAAUAGAACCUGAACCCCUGCACUUACAAGCUGUGGAAGCACAUUUCUUGUGUGACCGCGUACUUUUUGUAGAACGGGCCAACGAGUUACGUUAAGUAGCAAGGUUAAGCACUUAAGGUG